rnacentral:rRNA from 1 species
GACGUAGGGUGCGAGCGUUGUCCGGAUUUAUUGGGCGUAAAGAGCUCGUAGGCGGCUUGUCGCGUCGACCGUGAAAACUUGGGGCUCAACCCCAAGCCUGCGGUCGAUACGGGCAGGCUAGAGUUCGGUAGGGGAGACUGGAAUUCCUGGUGUAGCGGUGAAAUGCGCAGAUAUCAGGAGGAACACCGGUGGCGAAGGCGGGUCUCUGGGCCGAUACUGACACUGAGGAGCGAAAGCGUGGGGAGCGAACAGG